rnacentral:rRNA from 1 species
CGAGAGGGAAACAACCCAGACCGCCAGCUAAGGUCCCUAAAAUUGGCUAAGUGGGAAACGAAGUGGGAAGGCUAAAACAGUCAGGAUGUUGGCUUAGAAGCAGCCAUCAUUUAAAGAAAGCGUAAUAGCUCACUGAUCGAGUCGUCCUGCGCGGAAGAUGUAACGGGGCUAAGCCAGUUACCGAAGCUGCGGAUGCAUCGCAAGAUGCGUGGUAGGAGAGCGUUCUGUAAGCCUGUGAAGGUGGGUUGUGAAGCCUGCUGGAGGUAUCAGAAGUGCGAAUGCUGACAUGAGUAACGACAAUGCGGGUGAAAAACCCGCACGCCGGAAGACCAAGGGUUCCUGCGCAACGCUAAUCGGCGCAGGGUGAGUCGGCCCCUAAGGCGAGGCAGAAAUGCGUAGUCGAUGGAAAACAGGUUAAUAUUCCUGUACUUGUACAUAUUGCGACGGAGAGACGGAGAAGGCUAGGCCAGCACAGCGAUGGUUGUCUGUGUUUAAGGCGGUAGGUUAG